rnacentral:lncRNA from 1 species
GUUGCUAGAGUGAUGGAAUGUAAGCCUUUGACCGAGUUUGAGUGGGACUAUGAAGUCCUCGCUUGGAAUUGCUUAGCUAAGGACACCUCCUUCCUUAAGUAAGGUGGUGAGAGAUGAAGGCCAGGCAUUAUCUAGAUGUUGUAGUCAACGAAGACUUUUGGGUGUUGUAGUUGAUGGAAACAUGACCAAACUCAAACAGCUCUUGGAUAAGGGCAAAGUGUUGAUUGAG